AACGAACGCUGGCGGCAGGCUUAACACAUGCAAGUCGAGCGCCCCGCAAGGGGAGCGGCAGACGGGUGAGUAACGCGUGGGAACGUACCUUUUGAUUCGGAACAACUCCGGGAAACUGGAGCUAAUACCGGAUAAGCCCUAACGGGGAAAGAUUUAUCGCCGAAAGAUCGGCCCGCGUCUGAUUAGCUAGUUGGUGAGGUAACGGCUCACCAAGGCGACGAUCAGUAGCUGGUCUGAGAGGAUGAUCAGCCACACUGGGACUGAGACACGGCCCAGACUCCUACGGGAGGCAGCAGUGGGGAAUAUUGGACAAUGGGCGCAAGCCUGAUCCAGCCAUGCCGAGUGAGUGAUGAAGGCCUUAGGGUUGUAAAGCUCUUUUGUCCGGGAAGAUAAUGACUGUACCGGAAGAAUAAGCCCCGGCUAACUUCGUG
rnacentral:rRNA from 1 species